rnacentral:pre_miRNA from 1 species
AUCGCCGGGGGUUCUUGGUGAAAUGUAGAUUCUGAUUCAGUAGGCCAGAGUGAGACCCAAGAUUCUACGUUUCUAACAAGAUCCCAGGUGAUGCUGA